rnacentral:rRNA from 1 species
AACACAUGCAAGUCGAGCGGAUGAAGGGAGCUUGCUCCUGGAUUCAGCGGCGGACGGGUGAGUAAUGCCUAGGAAUCUGCCUGGUAGUGGGGGAUAACGUCCGGAAACGGGCGCUAAUACCGCAUACGUCCUGAGGGAGAAAGUGGGGGAUCUUCGGACCUCACGCUAUCAGAUGAGCCUAGGUCGGAUUAGCUAGUUGGUGGGGUAAAGGCCUACCAACGCGACGAUCCGUAACUGGUCUGAGAGGAUGAUCAGUCACACUGGAACUGAGACACGGUCCAGACUCCUACGGGAGGCAGCAGUGGGGAAUAUUGGACAAUGGGCGAAAACCUGAUCCAGCCAUGCCGCGUGUGUGAAGAAGGUCUUCGGAUUGUAAAGCACUUUAAGUUGGGAGGAAGGGCAGUAAGUUAAUACCUUGCUGUUUUGACGUUACCAACAGAAUAAGCACCGGCUAACUUCGUGCCAGCAGCCGCGGUAAUACGAAGGGUGCAAGCGUUAAUCGGAAUUACUGGGCGUAAAGCGCGCGUAGGUGGUUCAGCAAGUUGGAUGUGAAAUCCCCGGGCUCAACCUGGGAACUGCAUCCAAAACUACUGAGCUAGAGUACGGUAGAGGGUGGUGGAAUUUCCUGUGUAGCGGUGAAAUGCGUAGAUAUAGGAAGGAACACCAGUGGCGAAGGCGACCACCUGGACUGAUACUGACACUGAGGUGCGAAA